rnacentral:rRNA from 1 species
GACGAACGCUGGCGGCGUGCCUAAUACAUGCAAGUCGAACGCUUCUUUCCUCCCGAGUGCUUGCACUCAAUUGGAAAGAGGAGUGGCGGACGGGUGAGUAACACGUGGGUAACCUACCCAUCAGAGGGGGAUAACACUUGGAAACAGGUGCUAAUACCGCAUAACAGUUUAUGCCGCAUGGCAUAAGAGUGAAAGGCGCUUUCGGGUGUCGUUGAUGGAUGGACCCGCGGUGCAUUAGCUAGUUGGUGAGGUAACGGCUCACCAAGGCCACGAUGCAUAGCCGACCUGAGAGGGUGAUCGGCCACACUGGGACUGAGACACGGCCCAGACUCCUACGGGAGGCAGCAGUAGGGAAUCUUCGGCAAUGGACGAAAGUCUGACCGAGCAACGCCGCGUGAGUGAAGAAGGUUUUCGGAUCGUAAAACUCUGUUGUUAGAGAAGAACAAGGACGUUAGUAACUGAACGUCUCCUGACGGUAUCUAACCAGAAAGCCACGGCUAACUACGUG